rnacentral:rRNA from 1 species
GUGAGUCAUCGAAUCUUUGAACGCACCUUGCGCUCUUUGGCAUUCCAAAGAGCAUGCCUGUUUGAGUGUCACUGUUAACCUCACCUCUACAACUUUUUGUUGUGGUUCGGUGGAUUUGGAUGUCUGCCGUCGUUGGCUCGUCCUGAAAUGCAUUAGCCUGGCGUUGCUGAGGCCCUCUGGUGUGAUAAAUAUCUACGCCGUUUGGUCUGUGGCUGCUGGCUUACAGUCGUCUUCGGACAAUUUCUAAUGCUUUGGCCUCAAAUCAGGUAGGACUACCCGCUGAACUUAAGCAUACAAUAAGCGGAGG